rnacentral:lncRNA from 1 species
GCCCUUUAGACCUCAGAGAAUAACCCAAGACAUUUACUUGGAUUGUGCAAAUUGGCCUUAGCUAUGGAAAUUUCAUAAACUGCUUUCCCCAGAAAAAACAAUUUUGCAGACCUCGAAGUACAUACCAAAGCCAUUACCACUGUGCUUGUGCAAAGAAUCCCUUCCUCUUUACAUAAACAUAAAUUACUUGUUUCUGUAGACCCCUGAGAAAGUUUAAAUCUAGUCAAGAUUCAAGACAUGGAAAUCUAGUUAGUGAACAAGCUUUUGCCUUAAAACAUGCAUUUCUUUCACAUGAUUAUAUUUCUCAGCAUUAGCUUUUCUAAAGCAGUCUAUUCUUAUCAAGGAAAAAAAGGAUUCUUGCAAAAGGUUUGCAAUUUCUGCUCACUCAUUUUAUUACUAUUUCAGAUGUGUUCCAUGACCUUUUAUUAACAGACAUGUUCUAGUCUGCAGGUCAAAGACCUUUAAGCAAAUAAAAGUAUGUGGUGCCAACCUCAACAGCAAAUGGAGCCCUUGGCCACACAGACAGAUGCAGUUUCCUCUCUCCUUUUCUCCCUCUCUUCUCCGGUUAUUUUCAUUUCCUCCUGCCUUCCACUGGAAGACAUCAGAUCUUCCCAAGAGUGGCCAGCUUCAGAGUCAGAAAGCCAAAUGACCUAUAACAGUGAGACCUCUGGACAAGAUACAUUCCAGUUCUAGAAGUCUUUGACCUUCUUUAAACUAGGGCUUUAUUGAGUUCUCAGUCACACUGAAUGAAUGAACAUCACAAGUUACUUUAAAAAAUCCUACCCAUCGAGGGCAGGGAAAGCACCAGUGGGAGAAACCAGAGGAGAAAUGCUGUAACAAUGGAACAUGCUGAUGGCACCAGACUAAGAAGGUCAUCCAGAGCCUUGUACCGACAGCUUUUCAGGACAUCCAUCACAGAAGACCAAGUACAUAGAGGCAUUAUUUCUGAGCAAGCACUGGAGCAUCCUGCAUAGAAGCCUUCCUCACAUGGUUCUCAGUCCCUGUUCCUAAACCUGUGCCAUCUUGCAGAAUAACCUAAAUUAUUUUUCACAUAAGGAAAUCCAGAUUAGCUCUCUGAAUUUUGUGUCUUUAUAGCAGUCACUUUUGUGAGACCACAAAUGUCCAAUUGAAGUAAAACAGCCUCAACAAGAGAUUUAUAUUCCUUUCAGUCAUUGCCUGUCCAUUCCUCUGCAGCUAUGUAUAUUGAUAGAAUUAUCACAAGCUCAUUGCAUUUGCUUGGAAGCUGGCAGAAACUUGAAAUUCAGCAAGCAGUAGGAGGAAAUAAGUUUGGUUAUCUUACAUUUGCAUAAGUGUUCAAAUCACUGAAUUGCUGAAUUAAAGAUGGGCAGUGUAGUAUCAUGACAGCCACUACAUAAGGAAGGGGUACAUGAGAAAGGCUAUCCAAUAGUGAUGCCCCCUCACCCUCAAGGGAGUUUUCCCCUACAUAUAAUAAAUAGCCAGUUUUCCACUCCA